rnacentral:rRNA from 1 species
UACAGAGGUGGCAAGCGUUGUUCGGAAUUACUGGGCGUAAAGGGCGCGUAGGCGGUUCCGUAAGUUCCGCGUGAAAUCCCCCGGCUCAACCGGGGAAUGGCGCGGAAAACUGCGGGGCUUGAGUUCGGGAGAGGGAAGCGGAAUUCCGGGUGUAGCGGUGAAAUGCGUAGAUAUCCGGAGGAACACCGGUGGCGAAGGCGGCUUCCUGGACCGACACUGACGCUGAGGCGCGAAAGCUAGGGGAGCAAACGGG